ACGCUGGCGGCGUGCUUAACACAUGCAAGUCGAACGAGAACCUGUUAGAAGUUACUUUGACGGGGGACAGUGGCGAACGGGUGAGUAACGCGUAGGUAACUAACCUCAAAGAGAGGGAUAGCCCCGGGAAACUGGGAGUAAAACCACAUAAGCCCACAGUGUCGCAUGACACAGGGGGAAAAACUCCGGUGCUUUGAGACGGACCUGCGUCUGAUUAGCUAGUUGAGGGUAACGGCCCACCAAGGCGACGAUCAGUAGCCGACCUGAGAGGGUGAUCGGCCACAUUGGGACUGAGACACGGCCCAAACUCCUACGGGAGGCAGCAGUGGGGAAUAUUGCGCCAAUGGGGGAAACCCUGACGCAGCAACGCCGCGUGAGUGAAGAAGGUUUUCGGAUCGUAAAACUCUGUCUUUGGGGACGAAGAAGUGACGGUACCCAAGGAGGAAGCCCCGGCUAACUACGUGCCAGCCGCGGC
rnacentral:rRNA from 1 species